UGGGGAAUCUUGCGCAAUGCGCGAAAGCGUGACGCAGCAACGCCGCGUGGGGGAAGAAGGCCUUCGGGUUGUAAACCUCUUUCAGUUGGGACGAAGCUUCUGCGGUGAAUAGCCGUAUGGAGUGACGGUACCUUCACAAGAAGCCCCGGCUAACUACGUGCCAGCAGCCGCGGUAAUACGUAGGGGGCAAGCGUUGUCCGGAAUCAUUGGGCGUAAAGCGCGUGUAGGCGGCUCGGUAAGUCCGCUCUGAAAGUCCAGGGCUCAACCCUGGGAUGCGGGUGGAUACUGCCGAGCUCGAGUCCGGAAGAGGCGAGUGGAAUUCCUGGUGUAGCGGUGAAAUGCGCAGAUAUCAGGAGGAACACCAAUGGCGAAGGCAGCUCGCUGGGACGUGACUGACGCUGAGACGCGAAAGCGUGGGGAGCAAACAG
rnacentral:rRNA from 1 species